rnacentral:misc_RNA from 1 species
ACGAAUUGUAAUGGGGGGUUUGAUGCUGGCAAGUAGUCCUUCUGCUUGCAUUGUGCUCGCUUCCUACAAUUUCUGUCCAAACACCUGUGCACCUAUUUGCGAGAGGGUUUUCCGAACAUCCUCAUGAUGUUCUGGAAAUAUCCCUUUCAUCACAAAUUUAUACACUGCUUUACAAUGUCGAACGUGUUUGUGCCGAAAGGCCAUAAUAAAAUUUA